CACAGGUGCAGUGUGUGCCACAGGCAAUCAGAAUUGACAUCUGUAAUGCAGGAAAUGUUGGCCACAUCAUACCUGUGCUUGCAAUGUCUGCGUCAAUAUGGUUACUGUGCAAUGCUAGAAAUGCCUGUGCUUCCAUCUACCAGGGGGACACAGAGUUACAGAUAAGGGAAACACUCCGCAGACAUGAUGACUCCUGAAGAUUCCCAUGCAGUGUGUUGUAUAUAAAGUUUGGAGCUUUAUAAUGGAAAUCUACCUUCUUUGGGAGAUUUAUGAUUUUAAAUAUCUACAUACCCAUAUGCCUGCC